AAUCUGGUCUGAAAAACCACUCGGAGACUUUUGUAUCUCUAAGCAGCAAGGUAUUUGUUUUAUUCAACCUUGGGAACAAGCCAGCUCGCGCUAGACAAACUUGCUCCAAGGCUUCA